GGCUCGGUGGUGUAGUUGGUUAUCACGUCAGUCUCACAGUUCUGCAUUGUGCGACCACUGAAGGUCCCGAGUUCGAACCUCGGCUGAGUCA